rnacentral:rRNA from 1 species
UGCCUACGGGGGGCAGCAGUGGGGAAUAUUGGGCAAUGGGCGCAAGCCUGACCCAGCAACGCCGCGUGAAGGAAGAAGGCCCUCGGGUUGUAAACUUCUUUUAUCAGGGACGAAACAAAUGACGGUACCUGAUGAAUAAGCCACGGCUAACUACGUGCCAGCAGCCGCGGUAAUACGUAGGUGGCAAGCGUUAUCCGGAUUUACUGGGUGUAAAGGGCGUGUAGGCGGGUCUGCAAGUGUGAGGUGAAAUAU